AGAGGGUGCAAGCGUUAAUCGGAAUUACUGGGCGUAAAGGGUGCGUAGGUGGUAUGUUAAGUCAGAUGUGAAAGCCCUGGGCUCAACCUUGGAACUGCAUUUGAAACUAGCAAACUAGAGUAUGGUAGAGGGAAGUGGAAUUUCCGGGUGUAGCGGUGAAAUGCGUAGAUAUCGGAAGGAACACCAGUGGCGAAGGCGACUUCCUGGACCAUAACUGACGCUGAGGCACGAAAGCGUGGGGAGCAAACAGGAUUAGAUACCCUGGUAGUCCACGCUGUAAACGAUGAGAACUAGAUGUUAGGGUGCUUGCACUUUAGUAUCGUAGCUAACGCGUUAAGUUCUCCGCUGGGGAGUACGGCCGCAAGGUU
rnacentral:rRNA from 1 species